AGAGUUUGAUCCUGGCUCAGGAUGAACGCUGGCGGCGUGCUUAACACAUGCAAGUCGAACGAUGAUCCCAGCUUGCUGGGGGAUUAGUGGCGAACGGGUGAGUAACACGUGAGUAACCUGCCCUUAACUCUGGGAUAAGCCUGGGAAACUGGGUCUAAUACCGGAUAUGACUUCUCAUCGCAUGGUGGGGGGUGGAAAGCUUUAUUGUGGUUUUGGAUGGACUCGCGGCCUAUCAGCUUGUUGGUGAGGUAAUGGCUCACCAAGGCGACGACGGGUAGCCGGCCUGAGAGGGUGACCGGCCACACUGGGACUGAGACACGGCCCAGACUCCUACGGGAGGCAGCAGUGGGGAAUAUUGCACAAUGGGCGAAAGCCUGAUGCAGCGACGCCGCGUGAGGGAUGACGGCCUUCGGGUUGUAAACCUCUUUCAGUAGGGAAGAAGCGAAAGUGACGGUACCUGCAGAAGAAGCGCCGGCUAACUACGUGCCAGCAGCCGCGGUAAUACGUAGGGCGCAAGCGUUAUCCGGAAUUAUUGGGCGUAAAGAGCUCGUAGGCGGUUUGUCGCGUCUGCCGUGAAAGUCCGGGGCUCAACUCCGGAUCUGCGGUGGGUACGGGCAGACUAGAGUGAUGUAGGGGAGACUGGAAUUCCUGGUGUAGCGGUGAAAUGCGCAGAUAUCAGGAGGAACACCGAUGGCGAAGGCAGGUCUCUGGGCAUUAACUGACGCUGAGGAGCGAAAGCAUGGGGAGCGAACAGGAUUAGAUACCCUGGUAGUCCAUGCCGUAAACGUUGGGCACUAGGUGUGGGGGACAUUCCACGUUUUCCGCGCCGUAGCUAACGCAUUAAGUGCCCCGCCUGGGGAGUACGGCCGCAAGGCUAAAACUCAAAUGAAUUGACGG
rnacentral:rRNA from 1 species